AAAUUUUAGCUUAGAUACAUAUAUAUCCGCUGCCCCUGCAUCCGUUCCAUAACACGCGAUUAGUUGGAAAAGGUGGAAAAGCGCGCGUGUUGAAAAUUUUAGAUCCCGCAGCAGGAGCUAUUGGCGCCUACACAAAAAAUAAGUUUUUGGCUUUGCCUACAUGAAAAUUCCUCUUAUAUAUGCAGCUGGGCCCAUGACCGAGGGAAUUUCUACCUUAUAUCUAUCUACUCCCAUCCUCUACGAGGUCCUACAACUGCAAUCCAGAUCUUGCUAGUCCGAUCUACUAGACUCUUGCACGCCGCCUCCCACCGCCGAGACCCUCCCCUCCUCCGCACAUCUCCUGCUCCUCCUCAUCCCGGGCAUCAUCUUCUCGUUCGCCCUCAUCGUCGUCUCGAGAGGAAUAUGACGGUCCUCAUCGUUGGCCAUCUGGGCCGCGGAUCGGCAUGCCUCUCACUCCUUGGACAGCGGAUGUACUGAUGGGGUCGCUGCACCUGCAGUCUAGUAGGCCGUUAGAUUCCACGCCGGUGUAACCAGGCAAUACAGGUAGGAAGAUGCUCCUGAUAUUGGUGUUUCUCUAAUCUGUACAGGCAGGAAGACGCAGCAGGGCUAGGUGUGGUGGAUCUGUACUGCUUCUAACGGAGGUUUGAUUAAUAGUAGUGAUGUUCGGUUUGAAACUACACUGGUGAUUUUGUUUUACAAGCAAUACACGAUGUGUCCAUCAUGUAGUAACCUGUUUGAUACUGGUUUUAGUCUGUGAUCUGCUGGAGCAGGUGUGAUUCUUUUUUUUCCAUUCUGAUCCCUAAUCAAUUGAAUUAGUUUUUUGUCCUACAGCAAGAAUAAUAUUUGGGUAUAAUCCCCGCAUGUGUACUGGACGAACUUAACAUCACGCGUUGGAGAUUUAGGUCUGGUAGUAACUAUGGGAGACGUGGAAUUAUGUGAUUGUGUGCCUUGCAUAUUUUGUGCCCAUGUGAGGUGGUUCAAGUUGCCAAUUCAUUGCUACUUUUAGCUAAUAUAUUGUAUUGUAUUACCCCUCUUAGGUUUCUUGUCCUCACGUAUGGAUAAUUGAAGCCAGAAAUAACCAAUUGUAAUCAGAAGACAUGCGCGAAGGACUAAAGGUUUUUACUACCACAGAUCGAUUCAAUUGUACUCCAUUAAAUAAAUUUAGUGCCUUAUGUGUGCAGCUUGCAGAUUUCCUGGUCUACUAUUAUGAUUGUGUGAUCCAUUCCUCGCUCUGUAGUAGAUUACUAAAGCCGGUUGGAGCUAGGCAGGCCACCAGCAAGUGAAGCAUUACUUGUCGCUAUAUCCUAAUGUGAGGUAAACUUAAAAAGACUACUGUAUGGUCAACUUCCAUAUAUCAAGAAUCCAACGAGGAGGAGGCAUGGAGAAGGCAAACAAAUGAUUUCACUUUAUUUCUAGGUUUUGUUUGAUUAAAAAAAUGUGUCCGGAUAGCUAGAUAAAUUAGUGUUCAAUGUUCAUUUUCUAUCAGGUUGAUGUAUGUAACUCAGAUUGUGUUUUCGAAUUUCAUUGAAUAAAGCUUUAUGAUUUAUUUAUAAUUAUCCUUGAGUUA